rnacentral:rRNA from 1 species
UACAGAGGUCUCGAGCGUUGUUCGGAUUCAUUGGGCGUAAAGGGCGCGUAGGCGGCGGGGUAAGUCUGGUGUGAAAUCUCGGAGCUCAACUCCGAAAUUGCAAUGGAUACUGCCGGGCUAGAGUCCGGAAGAGGCGAGUGGAAUUCCUGGUGUAGCGGUGGAAUGCGCAGAUAUCAGGAGGAACACCAAUGGCGAAGGCAGCUCGCUGGGACGGUACUGACGCUGAGGUGCGAAAGCGUGGGGAGCGAACAGG